rnacentral:rRNA from 1 species
UACGGAGGGUGCAAGCGUUGUUCGGAAUUACUGGGCGUAAAGCGCGUGUAGGCGGCAGUGCAAGUCGGGUGUGAAAGCCCUGGGCUCAACCGAGGAAAUGCGCCCGAAACUGCACUGCUAGAGUACGGGAGAGGGAUGUGGAAUUCCUGGUGUAGAGGUGAAAUUCGUAGAUAUCAGGAGGAACACCCGUGGCGAAGGCGACGUCCUGGACCGAUACUGACGCUGAGACGCGAAAGCGUGGGGAGCAAACAGG